AUGUUGAAAUCCAUAGUUACUCCUCUGCUUUACCAGUUUUUGCUAAAUCAGGAUGAAAUAGGGUUUUCUCUUUAAAGAGCAAAAGAUGGAUUUUCCACACACGAGCUCCCCUUUGGUUUUGUUCUGUCUGCCCUCCGGUCGCUGUGGUUGGACUCCGGAGAACACUGUGGGUCAUCUGUCACGCGGGACAAGAUGUGAAAUGGUCAAAAAAGUCUUGUAAAAAUGCUUAAAAGGAAACAGGCCAGCAUGCAAUGAAAGAAGAUACAAAUCAGAAGUCUCUGGGAGUCUGCAGUGGUCAGAGCCGCGCAGCCAGGCGAGCUUCGAGUUGGGGACGUCCCAGGAGAGCCCGG